rfam:Camelus ferus unplaced genomic scaffold scaffold693, whole genome shotgun sequence.
GAGGGUAUAGCUCAAGUGGUAGAGAGCAUGCUUAGCAUGCAUGAGGUCCUGGGUUCAAUCCCCAGUACCUCCU